rnacentral:rRNA from 1 species
UACGUAGGCAGCAAGCGUUGUUCGGAAUUACUGGGCGUAAAGAGUGUGUAGGCGGUGCUCUAAGUUCGGUGUGAAAUCUCCCGGCUCAACUGGGAGGGUGCGCCGGAAACUGGAAUGCUUGAGCGUGGGAGAGGAAAGCGGAAUUCCUGGUGUAGCGGUGAAAUGCGUAGAUAUCAGGAGGAACACCAAUGGGCGAAGGCAGAUCUCUGGGCCGUAACUGACGCUGGAGGAGCG